rnacentral:rRNA from 1 species
UGGGGAAUUUUGGACAAUGGGCGAAAGCCUGAUCCAGCCAUGCCGCGUGAGUGAAGAAGGCCUUCGGGUUGUAAAGCUCUUUUAGUCGGAAAGAAAGAGUUGCAAUGAAUAAUUGUGAUUUAUGACGGUACCGACAGAAAAAGCACCGGCUAACUACGUGCCAGCAGCCGCGGUAAUACGUAGGGUGCGAGCGUUAAUCGGAAUUACUGGGCGUAAAGGGUGCGCAGGCGGUCUUGCAAGUCAGAUGUGAAAGCCCCGGGCUUACCUGGGAAUUGCGUUUGAAACUACAAGACUAGAGUGCAGCAGAGGGGAGUGGAAUUCCAUGUGUAGCAGUGAAAUGCGUAGAGAUGUGGAAGAACACCGAUGGCGAAGGCAGCUCCCUGGGUUGACACUGACGCUCAUGCACGAAAGCGUGGGGAGCAAACA